rnacentral:tRNA from 1 species
AAGGAGUUAGUUAAAAUAUAACAUUAAAAUGUCAAUUUAAAAUAACUAAUAUUAGUACACCUUG